rnacentral:rRNA from 1 species
GAAAGAUGAAAAGAACUUUGAAAAGAGAGUUAAACAGUACGUGAAAUUGUUGAAAGGGAAACGAUUGAAGCCAGUCGUACCUUCGGGUAAUCAGCCUUUCGGGUGCGAUUCUGUGGAGUGUGAGGAGUUUAACACCUUCAUGCUUUGCAUAUUUGUGCUCUUGGGUGUACUUGCCCGUGUGGUUGGUUAACAUCAAUUUUAAUUAUCAUAAAAUGACUGGAGGAAUGUAGCUUCGAUCUCGUAUUGAAGUGUUAUA